rnacentral:rRNA from 1 species
CCUACGGGUGGCAGCAGUGAGGAAUAUUGGUCAAUGGUCGGGAGACUGAACCAGCCAAGCCGCGUGAGGGAGGAAGGUACAGAGUAUCGUAAACCUCUUUUGUCAGGGAACAAAGACUGGGACGCGUCCCCGGAUGAGUGUACCUGAAGAAAAAGCAUCGGCUAACUCCGUGCCAGCAGCCGCGGUAAUCCGGAGGAUGCGAGCGUUAUCCGGAUUGAUGGGGUUAAAAGGGUGCGCAGGCGGGCUGUUAAGUCAGCGGUCAAAGCCCGGGGCUCACCCCCGGCCCGCCGUUGAAACUGGCAGUCUCGAGUUGGGGAGAGGUAUGCGGAAUGCGCGGUGUAGCGGUGAAAUGCAUAGAUAUCACGCAGAACUCCGAUUGCGAAGGCAGCAUGCCGGCUCCACACUGACGCUGAGGCACGAAAGCGUGGGUAUCGAACAGGAUUAGAUACCCUGGUAGUC